rnacentral:sRNA from 1 species
GUUGGGUGUGGUGGUGCACGCCUGUAAUCCCAGCAGCUCGGGAGGCUGAGGCAGGAGGAUGGUGAGUUCAAAGCCAGCCUCAGCAAAAGUGAGGCACUAAGCAACUCAGUGAGACCCUGUCUCAA